rnacentral:rRNA from 1 species
GGUUUUCUGAAUUUUAUGGAAAAUCGGACCUGCCAAUUGAUUAAAAGGCUGCAGUAAUUUAACUGUACAAAGGUAGCAUAAUCAUUAGCUUUUUAAUUGAAGGCUGGAAUGAAAGGUUUGACAGGGCUAAACUGUCUCUGAUAUAUAAAGUGAAUUUUUUUUUAUGUGAAAAGGCAUAAAUGGGAUAAUGGGACGAGAAGACCCUAUUAAACUUGAUUUUUAUUAUUAUUGAGAAAAAUUAAAAUUUGUUGGGGCGAUAAAUAACUUAAAUAUUAUAUGGUAAUUUGUUAAGUUAAGAUCCUAUUGUUUGAAAGAAAGAAUAAGUUACUAUAGGGAUAACAGCGUAAUUUUUUUUGAGAGUUCAUAUUGACAAUAAAGAUUGCGACCUCGAUGUUGGAUUAAGAAUACUGUAAAGUGCAGUAGCUUUAUAAGUGGAUUUGUUCAAUCUUUAAAUUCUU